CCUAUCCCCUCGUGUGCCUUGCCUCCCAACGCAAUUCGCGGCCGCGUCGACGUUCCGACCUGCACGAAUGGCGUAACGACUUCCCCACCUGUCUCCAGCACACACUCAGUGAAAUUGAAUUCCCCGUGAAGAUGCGGGGUUCCUGCGGUUAGACGGAAAGACCCCGUGCACCUUUACUGUAGCUUUACACUGGCAAUCGUCUUUUGCAUGUGUAGGGUAGGUGGUAGGCUUUGAAGCAGGGGCGCCAGCUCUUGUGGAGCCGCAAUGUGAAAUACCACCCUUAUGAACAUGGUUGUCUAACCGCGGACCGUCAUCCGGUCCCGAGACAUUGUAUGGUAGGCAGUUUGACUGGGGCGGUCGCCUCCUAAAUGGUAACGGAGGCGUGCGAAGGGUGGGCUCAGGUUGGUCGGAAAUCAACCGUCGAGUGCAAUGGCAUAAGCCCGCCUGACUGCGAGACUGACAAGUCGAGCAGAGUCGAAAGACGGCCA
rnacentral:rRNA from 1 species